AGAGAUUUAAAGGGAAGCUAAUUAAUACAACUCUUCUAAAACAUACAUGAGGCUAGGAAUAUAUUAAGUGCUUAAUUAAAAAACAGUUCUAUUGGGUUUAACACCUAAGUCAAUGAAGUCGUAUCAGUUGAGGAAAUAGUCACAAAAGAAGUUUUGUAAAUGGCAGAAUUGAUGAGUGCUACCGUUCACAAAUUUUCUACCAUCCAUUCAGAUUUAGAAUCAAAUGAAGCAGGCUCUGUGAUGGUCAAUUCUGGAUUUCUUGGGUCUAAAAUAAUAUCCUAAGCCCAUUCCAG
rnacentral:lncRNA from 1 species